rnacentral:rRNA from 1 species
AGUGAACGCUGGCGGUAGGCCUAACACAUGCAAGUCGAACGGCAGCACAGUAAGAGCUUGCUCUUACGGGUGGCGAGUGGCGGACGGGUGAGGAAUACAUCGGAAUCUACUUUUUCGUGAGGGAUAACGUAGGGAAACUUACGCUAAUACCGCAUACGACCUACGGGUGAAAGCAGGGGAUCUUCGGACCUUGCGCGAUUGAAUGAGCCGAUGUCGGAUUAGCUAGUUGGCGGGGUAAAGGCCCACCAAGGCGACGAUCCGUAGCUGGUCUGAGAGGAUGAUCAGCCACACUGGAACUGAGACACGGUCCAGACUCCUACGGGAGGCAGCAGUGGGGAAUAUUGGACAAUGGGCGCAAGCCUGAUCCAGCCAUACCGCGUGGGUGAAGAAGGCCUUCGGGUUGUAAAGCCCUUUUGUCGGGAAAGAAAAGCAGCAGGUUAAUACCCCGCUGUUCUGACGGUACCCAAAGAAUAAGCACCGGCUAACUUCGUG